rnacentral:rRNA from 1 species
UACGGGGGGGGCAAGCGUUGUUCGGAAUUACUGGGCGUAAAGGGUUCGUAGGUGGCCGACUAAGUCAGACGUGAAAUCCCUCAGCUCAACUGGGGAACUGCGUCUGAGACUGGCCGGCUUGAGUGCAGGAGAGGAACGCGGAAUUCCAGGUGUAGCGGUGAAAUGCGUAGAUAUCUGGAGGAACACCGGUGGCGAAGGCGGCGUUCUGGACUGCUACUGACACUGAGGAACGAAAGCAUGGGGAGCGAACAGG